CACGUAGGCCGCUUUGUAAGUCAGGGGUGAAAUCCCACGGCUCAACCGUGGAACUGCCUUUGAAACUGCAGAGCUUGAAUCCUGGAGAGGGUGGCGGAAUUCCUGGUGUAGGAGUGAAAUCCGUAGAUAUCAGGAGGAACACCGGUGGCGAAGGCGGCCACCUGGACAGGCAUUGACGCUGAGGUGCGAAAGUGUGGGGAGCAAACAG
rnacentral:rRNA from 1 species